UCCAGACUCCUACGGGAGGCAGCAGUAGGGAAUUUUGCGCAAUGGGGGAAACCCUGACGCAGCAACACCGCGUGAAUGUUAAGCCCUUCGGGGUGUAAAGUUCUGUCAAUAGGGACGAAUUUUGACUGUACCUAUAAAGGAAGCACCGGCUAACUCCGUGCCAGCAGCCGCGGUAAUACGGGGGGUGCAAGCGUUGUCCGGAAUCAUUGGGCGUGAAGCGUUCGUAGGCGGUAUGUCAAGUCUGAUGUUAAAGCCCGGGGCUCAACUCCGGUUCGGCAUUGGAUACUGGCAAACUAGAAUGUGGUAGAGGUAAAGGGAAUUCCUGGUGUAGCGGUGAAAUGCGUAGAUAUCGCGCAGAACUCCGAUUGCGAAGGCAGCAUGCCGGCUCCACACUGACGCUGAGGCACGAAAGCGUGGGUAUCGAACAGGAUUAGAUACCCCAGUA
rnacentral:rRNA from 1 species